UAGGGCCCCGCUGCUUCAGGCCCGGCCGCCUUCCGCCAGGGCUGGUUCCGCAAGACCUGCAGUCUGUGGCCCGGCCAGGCCCUGUGGCUGCAGGUGGAGCAGCUGCUCCACCACCGGCGCUCGCGGACAUCCUAGUCUUCCGCAGUAAGACCUAUGGCAACGUGCUAGUGUUGGACGGUGUCAUCCAGUGCACGGAGAGGGACGAGUUCUCCUACCUGGAGAUGAUGGCCAACCUACCUCUCUGCAGCCACCCCAACCCGCGAAAGGUGCUGAUCAUGGGGGGCGGAGAUGGAGGUGUCCUGCAUGAGGUGGUGAAGCACCCCUCCUUGGAGUCUGUGGUCCAGUGUGAGAUCGACGAGGAUGUCAUCCAAGUCUCCAAGAAGUUCCUGCCAGGCAUGGCUAUUGGCUACUCUAGCUCGAAGCUGACCCUAUAUGUGGGUGACGGUUUUGAGUUCAUGAAACAGAAUCAGGAUGCCUUCGAUGUGAUCAUCACUGACUCCUCAGACCCUAUGGGCCCAACCGAAAGUCUCUUCAAGGAGUCCUAUUACCAGCUCGUGAAGACGGCCCUCAUGGAAGAUGGUGUCCUCUGCUGCCAGGGUGAGUGCCAGUGGCUGCACCUGGACCUCAUGAAGGAGAUGCGGCAGUUCUGCCAGUCCCCAUUCCCCGUAGUGGCUUAUGCCUACUGCACCAUCCCCACCUACCCCAGCAGCCAGAUCGGCUUCAUGCUGUGCAGCAAGAACUUGAGCACCAACUUCCAGGAGCCGGUGCAGUCGCUGACGCAGCAGCAGGUGGCACAGAUGCAGCUGAAGGACUACAACUCUGACGUGCACCGCACCGCCUUUGUGCUGCCCGAGUUUGCCCGCAAGGCCCUGAAUGAUGUGAGGUGAGCCCAGGUGCCACCGCUGAUGCCACCCAGGACCUUGGAGCCUGCAGUGUGCCUGGGCCCCUCCAGCCCUGGGCCAGACCUUCUCCCCGCUGUCGCCCACCAAUCAAGUGUUACAAGCCCCAGAAUGCUGCUUGGCCUGCCCUGCUAGGCGGACUGUCUGUGUGUCUGUCUCUCUGGCGUUCCACCUCGGAGCCUAUACCAGCUAUGUAAAGGGCCAUCUCUCUGCCUUCUGUUUCCCCUCACUCACCAAACACGUGUAUUUAUAGAAAAAAAAAAAAA